rnacentral:rRNA from 1 species
AGCGAACGCUGGCGGCAGGCCUAACACAUGCAAGUCGAACGGAUCCUUCGGGAUUAGUGGCGGACGGGUGAGUAACACGUGGGAACGUGCCUUUUGGUUCGGAACAACUCAGGGAAACUUGAGCUAAUACCGGAUGUGCCCUUCGGGGAAGAUUAUCGCCAUUAGAGCGGCCCGCGUCUGAUUAGCUUGUUGGUGAGGUAAAGGCUCACCAAGGCUACGAUCAGUAGCUGGUCUGAGAGGAUGAUCAGCCACACUGGGACCUGAGACACGGCCCAGACUCCUACGGGAGGCAGCAGUGGGGAA